AUACGGAGGAUCCAAGCGUUAUCCGGAUUUAUUGGGUUUAAAGGGUGCGCAGGCGGAUCUUUAAGUCAGGUGUGAAAAUUUACAGCUCAACUGGAAUAGUGCAUUUGAUACUGGAGGACUUGAGUGCAUUUGAUGUGGCUGGAAUGCGUUGUGUAGCGGUGAAAUGCUUAGAUAUGUCGAAGAACUCCAAUUGUGAAGGCAGGUCACAAGAUUAUUACUGACGCUGAUGCACGAAAGCGUGGGUAUCAAACAGGAUUAGAUACCCUGGUAGUCCACACAGUAAACGAUGAAUACUCGUUGUUUGGGAGAUAUAGUAAGCGGCUAAGCGAAAGCGUUAAGUAUUCCACCUGGGGAGUACGACCGCAAGGGUGA
rnacentral:rRNA from 1 species